AGGAAAUUAGUUAAUAAAUAAUAUUAAUAUGUCAUAUUAAAGUAAUUGAAAAUCAAUAAUUCCUA
rnacentral:tRNA from 1 species